GAAGGGGAAAAAAAGAAAAGAAAGAGAAACAGAUGAAGAAAAAAGAAAAAGAAAAAGUUUCAUGAGUUUGAAUGUUCAAAGCACUUGAAUAGAGUUGAACGAAAAUGAGCUUGGAAGAACAUGCAACUAGGUUGGCAUCAUGUCUUUGAAUCAUAAGCCACAAUUCGACUUUUCUUUUACCACACCUUUGAUUCAUGCAUUAAUUCACACUACGUACGUGGUGGAGAUUUGAUUCACAAACAAGCCUAUGGUAAUGACAUUCUAUGUAUUGAUUUGAGUGGAACCAAAAAACCCAAACACCUUAUUAAACGUAUUAUGUUCUGAGUGAUUACAGUGACACCCUCGUGAGAGUGUUCAGACUUGUUUCAUUUGGUUUUGAUGAAGUCAAUGGGAUACUUGCAUGUUGAAUGUUGUGCUACAAGUGCUUGUUCUCAAUAUUGCUAUCUCUUGUUAUAUUAUCAAGUCAUAUUAGUAUAAGGGAUACACUUGACUAAUAUGAAAGGAAAUUUGAGAACUCUACUUGGAUAAUUCAUGUAUUUGGAUUGAGACAUGCUUGAGGGCAAGCAUGGUUUCAGUGUGGGGGAGUGUGGGGGAGUCUGAUAACAUACAUUUUAAUGCUCCUGUGCAUGCUUAUUUCAAGUGAUUGGUAAGGAUUUCACUGCGUGGGUUACUAAUGUUGAGUUACCUAAUUUUGUUGAAGAUGGGAGGGAGUGUAAGGUAGGUGAUAGUCUUUUACACAUCACAGUUGAAAAGUUAUACGAGUCAAAUUCAGCUCUUGUGUUAUUGUGUUGGGUGGACUUUUGUCUAAAGUUCAAACAUAGCAUGAUUUAUAGUUUAUGUUGUAUGUUUCCUAAUAAUGAUUCCACUAAUGGGAUCAAGAGAAUCCUUUUCGUAUCAAAUACUACUUUAUUCUUUUUCUUGUCAAUGUGGGGGGUCAUUUUAUCAACAUUUUUUCCAUCCAAAACUCUGAGGCAGAGAUUAUCUUAGCUGCUUAAAUUUGCUGCAAAAGAAUUGUAUUAGAUUACACCAAAUUGUUGAAUCUAUUAUAGUCAUCUUUAUCAGCAUAACUGGGAUGGACGUGCUUGGAUGAUAUGUUAAAGAAUGAUACGCUAAUAUUGAUUGUGCUAUUUCUGAGAAUGAAUGUGCUAAAAUCUUUCAAUUGUCAGCCUAGAGAGUUCAUGGUUCAUGGCCUUUGCCUACCUUUCUGUGCAGUCUACAUUCGCUUCGCCAAAAACAGGCUUUUAUAACUCAUAAAUCGGACCCCAAGAAUUGGUUCAAUUCACCAUUCAUGGCUAAGAGGUCAUCGAUUGUGCCAAGCAUCAACAAGCCGAUUAUUGUUAGGCUUAGACGAAAUGUUAGGGUCAAACGAAAAGCUUUCCAAUCCGCGAUAGAUACUUUUUUGGAGGAACUAAAGACCGAGAAGAUUCUUGUACGACAUGUGGAGAAAGUUACACGCUCAGAGGAUACAUUUGAUGUGCUGUGAUCUUUUGCGCCUAAUCCAUUUGAUAAGUUGAAGUCUAAAGAGAAGAAUGAAGAGGGAAGAUGCGACAUUAAGGCUGGGAAAGGUCUUAACAGAGCUUUGCAUUUGUGCCCAUCGAUGAAUCUCAUGACGUAAUAGAGGUCCAGACACCUUUAUUAUUUCAGUUGGUUCAUUCAAGAAUUUCAAUAUUGGAGUUCAAGCCUUAAUGUUUCUCCACCAAAACCUCAUCCAAGAAUCAAAUUGUCAGUGGUUGUAUUUGUCGGGCCUAUUAUUCAAACUCCUGCUCCCAGCUGCGAUGGAUUUUUCCAAGGACAUUAUUCUAUAUGGAUCAAUUGGAGUUUAAGAAAUUUCAACCAGAGUAAACAGUUCAAAUCUCAAAAGAGAGAAAGAAGAGGCUUUAUCUUCACAUAGUGACUCAAGCAUAGUAAAAAAGUGGUUGUCUUUCCCUUCAUCAAAUUUGAAUAUGGAUCACCAGUUCAAGAUUCAGGAGCCUAGCCGCACACAUAGUCACAAUUGCCACUCCCAAAAUGGAAAUCACAUCUGAAGAAUAAAAUGUGAAGCAGAACACAAUCAUCCUGGAGUGUGAAUUCUGGCGUUUGGAAAAGGAGAAAAAUUGAAGAUUUGUUAUUAGCUA